rnacentral:tRNA from 1 species
UGCAUCGGCCGGAAAUCGAACCCGGGGAGCCCGCGUGGCAGGCAAGCAUUCUACCACUGAACCACCGAUGC